rnacentral:rRNA from 1 species
GAUGAACGCUGGCGGCGUGCCUAAUACAUGCAAGUCGAGCGAACGGACGAGAAGCUUGCUUUUCUGAUGUUAGCGGCGGACGGGUGAGUAACACGUGGAUAACCUACCUAUAAGACUGAGAUAACUUCGGGAAACCGGAGCUAAUACCGGAUAAUAUUUUGAACCGCAUGGUUCAAAAGUGAAAGACGGUCUUGCUGUCACUUAUAGAUGGAUCCGCGCUGCAUUAGCUAGUUGGUAAGGUAACGGCUUACCAAGGCAACGAUGCAUAGCCGACCUGAGAGGGUGAUCGGCCACACUGGAACUGAGACACGGUCCAGACUCCUACGGGAGGCAGCAGUAGGGAAUCUUCCGCAAUGGGCGAAAGCCUGACGGAGCAACGCCGCGUGAGUGAUGAAGGUCUUCGGAUCGUAAAACUCUGUUAUUAGGGAAGAACAUAUGUGUAAGUAACUGUGCACAUCUUGACGGUACCUAAUCAGAAAGCCACGGCUAACUUCGUG